AGUCAAGUAAUUAAGUGCAUGUGGUGGAUGCCUUGGCAGUCAGAGGCGAUGAAAGACGUGAUAGCCUGCGAAAAGCUCCGGGGAGGCGGCAAAUAUCCUUUGAUCCGGAGAUGUCUGAAUGGGGGAACCCACCUACUUUAAGGUAGGUAUUGCAACAUGAAUACAUAGUGUUGCAAGGCGAACGAGGGGAAGUGAAACAUCUCAGUACCCUUAGGAAAAGAAAUCAAUUGAGAUUCCCUCAGUAGCGGCGAGCGAACGGGGAUCAGCCCAUUAAGUUAUGUGUGUUUUAGUGGAACGCUCUGGGAAGUGCGAACGUAGAGGGUGAUAUUCCCGUACACGAAAGGGCACACAUAAUGAUGACGAGUAGGGCGAGGCACGUGAAACCUUGUCUGAAUAUGGGGGGACCAUCCUCCAAGGCUAAAUACUCCUGACUGACCGAUAGUGAACCAGUACCGUGAGGGAAAGGCGAAAAGAACCCCUGUGAGGGGAGUGAAAUAGAUCCUGAAACCGCAUGCAUACAAGCAGUGGGAGCACCUUCGUGGUGUGACUGCGUACCUUUUGUAUAAUGGGUCAGCGACUUAUAUUCAGUAGCGAGGUUAACCGUAUAGGGGAGCCGUAGAGAAAUCGAGUCUUAAUAGGGCGUUUAGUUGCUGGGUAUAGACCCGAAACCAGGCGAUCUAUCCAUGAGCAGGUUGAAGGUUGGGUAACACUAACUGGAGGACCGAACCCACUGUCGUUGAAAAGCCAGGGGAUGACUUGUGGAUAGGGGUGAAAGGCUAAUCAAGCCUGGUGAUAGCUGGUUCUCCCGAAAGCUAUUUAGGUAGCGCCUCGGACGAAUACCAUAGGGGGUAGAGCACUGUUUCGGCUAGGGGGUCAUCCCGACUUACCAAACCGAUGCAAACUCCGAAUACCUAUGAGUACUAUCCGGGAGACAGACUGCGGGUGCUAACGUCCGUAGUCAAGAGGAAAACAAUCCAGACCGCCAGCUAAGGCCCCAAAAUCAUAGUUAAGUGGGAAACGAUGUGGGAAGGCAUAGACAGCUAGGAGGUUGGCUUAGAAGCAGCCACCCUUUAAAGAAAGCGUAAUAGCUCACUAGUCGAGUCGGCCUGCGCGGAAGAUGUAACGGGGCUAAAACUAUGUGCCGAAGCUGCGGAUGUAUACUUUGUAUACGUGGUAGGGGAGCGUUCUGUAAGCCGAUGAAGGUGUGUUGAGAAGCAUGCUGGAGGUAUCAGAAGUGCGAAUGCUGACGUGAGUAACGACAAAACGGGUGAAAAACCCGUUCGCCGAAAGACCAAGGGUUCCAGUCCAACGUUAAGGGGCUGGGUGAGUCGACCCCUAAGGCGAGGCCGAAAGGCGUAGUCGAUGGGAAAAUGGUUAAUAUUCCAUUACUUCUGUGUAAUGCGAUGAGAGGACGGAGAAGGCUAAAUCAGCCUGGCGUUGGUUGUCCAGGUGAAAGGAUGUAGGCAUGUAUCUUAGGCAAAUCCGGGGUACUCUAUGCUGAGAUCUGAUAGCAAGCUGUACUUGUACAGCGAAGUGGUUGAUGCCAUGCUUCCAGGAAAAGUCUCUAAGCUUCAGUUACACAGGAAUCGUACCCGAAACCGACACAGGUGGUCAGGUCGAGUAGACCAAGGCGCUUGAGAGAACUCUGCUGAAGGAACUAGGCAAAAUGGUACCGUAACUUCGGGAGAAGGUACGCUGUUGUUGGUGAUGGAACUCGCUUCCUGAGCUGACGACAGCCGCAGAAACCAGGCCGCUGCAACUGUUUAUUAAAAACAUAGCACUCUGCAAACACGAAAGUGGACGUAUAGGGUGUGAUGCCUGCCCGGUGCUGGAAGGUUAAUUGAUGGGGUUAGCGUAAGCGAAGCUCUUGAUCGAAGCCCCAGUAAACGGCGGCCGUAACUAUAACGGUCCUAAGGUAGCGAAAUUCCUUGUCGGGUAAGUUCCGACCUGCACGAAUGGCAUAAUGAUGGCGGCGCUGUCUCCAGCAGAGGCUCAGUGAAAUCGAAAUCGCUGUGAAGAUGCAGUGUACCCGCGGCUAGACGGAAAGACCCCGUGAACCUUUACUGCAGCUUGACACUGAACUUUGACCUUACUUGUGUAGGAUAGGUGGGAGGCUUUGAAGCUGGAACGCUAGUUCCAGUGGAGCCGUCCUUGAAAUACCACCCUGGUAAUGUUGAGGUUCUAACUCUGUCCCGUGAUCCGGGACGAGGACCGUGUCUGGUGGGUAGUUUGACUGGGGCGGUCUCCUCCUAAAGAGUAACGGAGGAGUACGAAGGUGCGCUCAGCGUGGUCGGAAAUCACGCGUAGAGUAUAAAGGCAAAAGCGCGCUUAACUGCGAGACCCACAAGUCGAGCAGGUACGAAAGUAGGUCUUAGUGAUCCGGUGGUUCUGUAUGGAAGGGCCAUCGCUCAACGGAUAAAAGGUACUCUGGGGAUAACAGGCUGAUACCGCCCAAGAGUUCAUAUCGACGGCGGUGUUUGGCACCUCGAUGUCGGCUCAUCUCAUCCUGGGGCUGAAGCAGGUCCCAAGGGUAUGGCUGUUCGCCAUUUAAAGAGGUACGCGAGCUGGGUUUAGAACGUCGUGAGACAGUUCGGUCCCUAUCUACCGUGGGCGCUGGAAAUUUGAGAGGAUCUGCUCCUAGUACGAGAGGACCAGAGUGGACGAACCUCUGGUGUACCGGUUGUGACGCCAGUCGCAUCGCCGGGUAGCUAUGUUCGGAAGGGAUAACCGCUGAAAGCAUCUAAGCGGGAAGCCUACCUCAAGAUAAGAUUUCCCUAGGACUUUAUGUCCUCUAAAGAGCCGUUCGAGACUAGGACGUUGAUAGGUUGGAUGUGGAAGCAUAGUGAUAUGUGAAGCUGACCAAUACUAAUUGCUCGUGAGGCUUGACUAU
rnacentral:rRNA from 1 species